rnacentral:rRNA from 1 species
UACGUAGGGCGCAAGCGUUGUCCGGAAUUAUUGGGCGUAAAGCGCACGUAGGCGGAUCGUUAAGUCGGGGGUGAAAUCCUGGGGCUCAACCCCAGAACUGCCUUCGAUACUGGCGAUCUAGAGUCCGGAAGAGGUGAGUGGAACUCCUAGUGUAGAGGUGGAAUUCGUAGAUAUUAGGAAGAACACCAGUGGCGAAGGCGGCUCACUGGUCCGGUACUGACGCUGAGGUGCGAAAGCGUGGGGAGCAAACAGG